AUGGCGUGUGGGCUGAGCUGGCUUCUCCUGGUGGCUGUGUUAGGAGGGGUCCAGUGUGAGGUGCAGCUGGUGGAGUCUGGGGGAAACUUGGUGCAGCCUGGGGGAUCCCUGACACUCUCCUGUGCAGCCUCUGGAUUCAGUUUUGGCAGCUAUGGGAUGAACUGGAUCUGCCAGGCUCCAGGGAAGGGCCUAGAGUGGGUCUCACGCAUAAGUAGUAAUGGUGAUAUUACAUACUACGCCAACUCUGUGAAGGGCCGAUUUAGCAUCUCCAGAGACAAAAGCAAGAAUGCGCUCUCUCUGCAAAUGAGCAGCCUGAGGGAGGAGGACUCGGCCCUGUACUACUGUGCGAGAUACACAGUGACGAGAAGGCCCUACGGGCCCAGACACAAACCACCUGCAGGAGGAAGCAGGCUCCAGGAAUAUGCCCUGGACAGAGACUCCAAGGUGGGCAUCGUGUCUCUGAGCCCGAAACUCACUGUGGGCCUCUGUCCCCAAUGUUCUGUUCGAGGUGCAGAAGCAGGAGUCGGGACCAAGCCUGGCGACGCCCUUGCCGACGCUGUCCCUCACCUGCUCUAA